UUAACGAGAGUUUGAUCCUGGCUCAGGACGAACGCUGGCGGCGUGCCUAAUACAUGCAAGUCGAACGAACCAAA
rnacentral:rRNA from 1 species